rnacentral:tRNA from 1 species
GGCCUGGUAGCUCAGCUGGUAGAGCGUGCGCGUACAAAGCGUAGGCGGUGUCCAUGCAUGAUGGGUUCAAAUCCCACCGCGGCUA